rnacentral:rRNA from 1 species
GUUUUAACGUGUUCAACCUUUUAGGUGCAUUGACGUUAAAACUUAUCUGCUGUGGAUUUUUGAUAAUUGAAAAUGAAUUAUUAAAGAUUGAGGGCUCCACUUUGUGUGAGGACAGCGGAUUGACGAUGCGAUACGACCCGUCUUGAAACACGGACCAAGGAGUCUAGCGCGGGUGCGAGUCGGAAGGUGUAAAAACCUGUGGGCGAAGUGAAAGCGAGAUAAAACUCUCAGUUUGAGGCGGCAUAUUUUCGUUGAAAAUAGGUCCGACCUUGAGCAGUUGCGCUGGGACCCGAAAGAUGGUGAACUAUGCCGGAGUAGGGCAAAGCCAGAGGAAACUCUGGUGGAGGCUCGUAGCGGUGCUGACGUGCAAAUCGCUCGUCGAACUUGGGUAUAGGGGCGAAAGACUAAUCGAACCAUCUAGUAGCUGGUUUCCUCCGAAGUUUCUCUCAGGAUAGCGGGCCGACAUAGUGUUGUUUUGUGCGGUAAAGCGAAUGAUUAGCGUAUUUGGGGACAUUUUGUCUUCAGACGAUUCUCAAACUUUCAAUGCACAAGGGUGUUGCUGCUUAAUUGAGCUUCACCGGUAAAAACGUCGGCCCUGUGGGCCACUUUUGGUAAGCA